GUGUUUGGUUGCCAGAACGUCGGGUGAUGAAUCGGAAGCACCGUCGGCUGAUCGGGUGCCUUAUGGAAGUCGGACGUCGGCUGCCACCCCCGGCAUAGAGUCGGUGAUACAGGUUUGGCCGUUCGAUCGGUCGAAAACAGUAUUGAUCUGUUUGGCCGGCAUACCUUUGGUCGGAUGUUGUCGGCGGUCACUGUCGGAGUCAUCUGUCCAUCCGGUGGGUAGAGUCGGACAUCGAUCGGAUCGUUUCGAAGAUAAGUCGGUGUAUAGGGGUC
rnacentral:lncRNA from 1 species